rnacentral:rRNA from 1 species
CCAAUAGCGUAUAUUAAAGUUGUUGCAGUUAAAAAGCUCGUAGUUGAAUUUCGGGGUUAGUACGCUGGUCGUGCCUUCGGUAUGUACUGGUGUUUCCGAUUCCUACCUUCUGAAGAACCGUCAUGUCAUUAAUUUGGUGUGGCGGGGAAUCAGGACUGUUACUUUGAAAAAAUUAGAGUGUUUAAAGCAGGCUCGCGCUUGAAUACAUUAGCAUGGAAAAAUGAAAUAGGACGUUCGAUCCUAUUUUGUUGGUUUCUAGGAUUGACGUAAUGAUUAAUAGGGAUAGUUGGGGGCAUUAGUAUUCAAUUGUCAGAGGUGAAAUUCUUGGAUUUAUUGAAGACUAACUACUGCGAAAGCAUUUGCCAAGGAUGUUUUCAUUAAUCAAGAACGAAAGUUAGGGGAUCGAAGACGAUCAGAUACCGUCGUAGUCUUAACCAUAAACUAUGCCGACUAGGGAUCGGAUGAUGUUAAUUUUUUAAUGACUCAUUCGGCGCCUUACG